GUGCUAAUACAUGCAAGUCGAACGAACUCUGGUAUUGAUUGGUGCUUGCAUCAUGAUUUACAUUUGAGUGAGUGGCGAACUGGUGAGUAACACGUGGGAAACCUGCCCAGAAGCGGGGGAUAACACCUGGAAACAGAUGCUAAUACCGCAUAACAACUUGGACCGCAUGGUCCGAGUUUGAAAGAUGGCUUCGGCUAUCACUUUUGGAUGGUCCCGCGGCGUAUUAGCUAGAUGGUGGGGUAACGGCUCACCAUGGCAAUGAUACGUAGCCGACCUGAGAGGGUAAUCGGCCACAUUGGGACUGAGACACGGCCCAAACUCCUACGGGAGGCAGCAGUAGGGAAUCUUCCACAAUGGACGAAAGUCUGAUGGAGCAACGCCGCGUGAGUGAAGAAGGGUUUCGGCUCGUAAAACUCUGUUGUUAAAGAAGAACAUAUCUGAGAGUAACUGUUCAGGUAUUGACGGUAUUUAACCAGAAAGCCACGGCUAACUACGUGCCAGCAGCCGCGGUAAUACGUAGGUGGCAAGCGUUGUCCGGAUUUAUUGGGCGUAAAGCGAGCGCAGGCGGUUUUUUAAGUCUGAUGUGAAAGCCUUCGGCUCAACCGAAGAAGUGCAUCGGAAACUGGGAAACUUGAGUGCAGAAGAGGACAGUGGAACUCCAUGUGUAGCGGUGAAAUGCGUAGAUAUAUGGAAGAACACCAGUGGCGAAGGCGGCUGUCUGGUCUGUAACUGACGCUGAGGCUCGAAAGUAUGGGUAGCAAACAGGAUUAGAUACCCUGGUAGUCCAUACCGUAAACGAUGAAUGCUAAGUGUUGGAGGGUUUCCGCCCUUCAGUGCUGCAGCUAACGCAUUAAGCAUUCCGCCUGGGGAGUACGGCCGCAAGGCUGAAACUCAAAGGAAUUGACGGGGGCCCGCACAAGCGGUGGAGCAUGUGGUUUAAUUCGAAGCUACGCGAAGAACCUUACCAGGUCUUGACAUACUAUGCAAAUCUAAGAGAUUAGACGUUCCCUUCGGGGACAUGGAUACAGGUGGUGCAUGGUUGUCGUCAGCUCGUGUCGUGAGAUGUUGGGUUAAGUCCCGCAACGAGCGCAACCCUUAUUAUCAGUUGCCAGCAUUAAGUUGGGCACUCUGGUGAGACUGCCGGUGACAAACCGGAGGAAGGUGGGGAUGACGUCAAAUCAUCAUGCCCCUUAUGACCUGGGCUACACACGUGCUACAAUGGAUGGUACAACGAGUUGCGAACUCGCGAGAGUAAGCUAAUCUCUUAAAGCCAUUCUCAGUUCGGAUUGUAGGCUGCAACUCGCCUACAUGAAGUCGGAAUCGCUAGUAAUCGCGGAUCAGCAUGCCGCGGUGAAUACGUUCCCGGGCCUUGUACACACCGCCCGUCACACCAUGAGAGUUUGUAACACCCAAAGUCGGUGGGGUAACCUUUUAGGAACCAGCCGCCUAAG
rnacentral:rRNA from 1 species